UGGAUGGAUGGAUGGAUGGAGUAUACAAAGUCUUGAAGACCACUCAGACCACUCUUGUACAGAGAGGAGACGUAUUCUUCAGGAUUCGAAGAAAUUGGACUGCCCAGCCAGAAUCUUUGUAGGCCAUCUGAUCAGAUUCCCUGGUCACAAGAUACCUGGGGAACUGCAGAAACAGAGGACGGAGAGCGCCAAACAUUUAAAAUUCCGGUAACACUUUAGUAUGG